AACGGUCUAUACCUGCGGUACCUGCGGAGGGAUCAUUAAUGAGAAACUGCCCCUCGCGGGUAGAUCUCCCACCCUUUGUAAACUUACCUUUGUUGCUUUGGCAGGCCCGUCUCCGGACCGCCGGCUUCGGCUGGCCAGUGCCUGCCAGAGGAUUCUAAAACUCUGUCUGUCAGUGUUGUCUGAGUCUAUAUACAAUCGUUAAAACUUUUAACAAUGGAUCUCUAGAUCGGAAGAGCACAC
rnacentral:misc_RNA from 1 species